GUCACUAGUGCGAAUCCGCUGCGCUCGGUCAGAACUUAUCCUUUUGCGAGUUGCGAGAACUUGAGACUAGCUGUCAGUUUAAGGUGGAAGCUGUGUUGUUCUUCCUUCUUCUUCUUCUUCUGUGCGGGGGUGUUCGCGGAGAGUGAAUAAGGUUGAUUUUUUUUGUUGGACCAAACCAAGUCAUCUUUUCGGCUAUGCUGUUUUUUUUCUAUGAUUUCGAUUUGCUGCACGUAGAUCAUAACGACGAUGCCACGGUUGACAUGAGACUUCAGCUAACCCCCCGGGGGAAAUAUGCUUAGACGGGUUUGAUGAUGGAUAUUCGAUACAGCCGUGGCUUAAUUUGGCGGUGUUGACUGUGAGAUGAUCGUUCUAUGGAACACAGGAGGCAGUCUGUAUAAAGCUCUCGCAAAUUAAAAUGAGUCUAUCGAGUUCAAGAAAGUGUGCUCUCAAAUCGUCCUAAAAUGGAAAAUUUCACCGAUGUUUGGUGCUGUGCUACAAACAGAAGACUGUUCACCCUUUCAUCUUGUCCCAAGAAAAAGGUUUAAACGAAAACAAAGUGCUGCAUUUGAAUUACCAAAACCGAAGUGAGCUCAGUGAAAAAGUGUAGGAAAAUUUAAUCUAAAUAUAGCGGCCCCCGCUUUUUUCCGGUUUUCAAUACUGGUCGAGUAUGAGUUGCAAAGUGAAUCCAUCGUUAUCUUACAUCUUACGACCGACCUUCGUUCUUGUGCCGGAUAAAUACUGUCAAGGGUAAAGCUCUCUAUCGAAGAAUGCGCGCGUGAAACGAAGCUUACCGACACGACUUAAUCUGGAUCAGCUCGAACAAAUAACGUGUAAUCAGGAUUACAAUUUACAUCGAACCUUUUCAUCCGUGACAGGGCCCCUAUCGGCGUCGUGGUCGUGAGAAAAAUCGUAUAAAAACAUAAGUGCUACUUUGCAAUUCCCCCAUUCUUCCUCUUUAUCAACUGGACCGGAACUCUCCUCCUCCGGGCUAAUCAUAGUGGGGCCGCGCGACCUGCGCCCUGUCCAGACUGAGCGGGUCAUAACCGUAAAUUAAUCGGCCAUUUAUAUGCUAAACACUGUUCGUUUCGGGGCGUACUUUCGCAUCCUCCCGAGAACCGAAAAAAAACCCGUCAAAUGGAGUGCUGCGUGCGAGCUUCUAAACGUGAAAUUUUUUUCCUCGCGCGCACACUACUAACCCGUAGAUCACUUUCUUCGCGCCGGUUGGCGCAUCGGAUCGGUCGAAGUGAAACAAUCGCACUUUCGAGUGUCUGCCUUUCGGUUUUGCAAUAAUCGUAAAAGUUGAAUUGUUUCCUCCAGUCUCCAGUGUUUUUUUUGAUUCCGGAACGAAGGGGAAAAAAAGUGGUGUUCAAAAAAAAAAAAAAAAAGAAAAAAAAUAGUCCAAUCCUUGACUACACCAGAAACGAAGGAUACCUUAGCUUACGGAAGUGGGUGGGGAAGGCGAACACUUUACGGUGAACGAGAGCGAAUGUGGUGUCGAUAAUACUUUACGGCGGAAGUGGUGAAAAACAGCCGCAAAAGAGCACGAAAAAAAGAAAGAAAAAUACAGUGGCGGGGUUAUUGGGCCAGCCCAAAAAGCAAGGAAAAAGCUUGAAGUCUGAUGCAAAAAAAAUAGAAAUACUGUAGCAACAAACACAAGAAAGGUGGCGAGGUGAGCAGGAAGAAAAAUGUGGCUUGAAAAGCUGAUGCUAGUAUAUCUGCUGGCGCUGUUCAACUCGCUGGACGGAUACUUUCUGGAUAAUAACCUGCAGAACACCGGGCGUCAUCGAAGGAAAGAUUCCAACGAGGCCAAAUCAUCGCACAGGAACACCCUCAGUUUGUCACAUCACCACGAGAGUCAAUUCAUCACCAAGAACAACAGUAGAGUAGUUAGUCAACGAGGGGGUCUCGCGGUACUGCCCUGCAGUGUCACCAUGUCAACACCAGCCACUGUUUCGUGGUUCCGGCGGAAAGACUACCAGCUGCUGACGGUCGGUUUGUCCACGUACAGCAGCGACGAACGGUUCCUGGUGGAGCACACGCGCCACCUGGGGAACUGGGCGUUACGGAUAAAGAACGCCCGCAAGGAGGACGAAGGACUGUACGAGUGCCAAAUUUCCACCCAUCCGCCGCAGUCAAUAUUCAUCGAGCUUAGGAUCGUAGAGGCAGCCGCAGAAAUUUUGGAAGCACCUGAUUUGCAUAUAGACGAGGGAUCGACGCUGAGACUGGAAUGCAAACUGAAACGUGCCACCGAGAGUCCCCUGUAUGUCUUUUGGUACCACGAGGAUCGGAUGGUCAACUACGAUCAGGAGGAUGGCAUCUCGGUGUCUACGAACAAGCUGACGUCGAGCAUUCUGACGGUGCGAAAUGCGACAGCCCGACACGGAGGGAACUACACUUGUGCACCAGCCAACGCAAGACAAUCGAGUGUCUACGUGCACGUGCUCAAAGGUGAAAAGCCAGCCGCAAUGCAACAUCCGAAUAAAAGUCCCACGGCAGCAUCCGGCGGUGCGAGCAGCGGAGGAAGCAGUGCUACGGCAGCAGUCAACCCACGACGACGAGGACGACUAACGAGCACUUCCAGCUGCUGGGUGGUCGCACUACUGCUGACCUGGACCUACUACUACUGGUCUUCACCGUGGAUCCUGGUCCGUCCCGACGACAACAGUCACGUCUCUUCGGUAUCUUCCUUGGCGAGUGCCCGCCCAGCGACGACGACUACGACGACGACGACGGUGCUCACUAGCUUUAGGGUGAUAUUUUGUAUACUAUUACUGAUGGUUACCGUGAAGACUACAUUCAGCAAAAGUAUUAAAUUGUUCGAUGCGGUCUAAGCCCUCGUUGAGGUGGUGGGGAGGGUGUAAAGGGGGAGAGAAACAUGGAAUGAUGACCGAGUUCUACUCGAGGGCCUAUGCAGGUGCGCUGCUGCCCGGUAAGCGAGUUGGCAAAUAGAAAUCAUUAAGAAGGCAGAGCAAAACGACGCGUAAUAAAAAGUUAUGAGAAUUUUACGGUUGGAAGAGAACGGAACGUGCGAGAAAUCAACGAAGUUUCCUUUUUUUUCGCGCUAAUUCCUUACUUUGAAACUCGAAUUCGCGAAUACGGCGGGGAAAGGUGUGAAUGUGCUAGGAAAUUGGAAAAAUGAAUUAUAAUUGUGAUUAAGAUUUUAAAUGACUUCAGUCAGUGGUUACUAGUUAAGCACGUGUAGUUAAGGCGAAAAACGUAAUGAAAAUACUCUACUAAAACGGGGGAAAAUUGUAGCUGCCCUCCGGGGCAGCCUCCUGAGUGUCGGAAAAAAAGCACGGUGUGCAAUUUAAGCGACGAGAUCAAUGUUCAGAAAACAAACUGUCAAUGUAAGAUAACAAAAAAAUACUUAUUUAAAAGUAAUUAGCAAUUAUACAAAAAAAAAACGGAACGGGCAGUCAUGAACAGAUACUUAAAGCAAAAAGAUAAUAAACAUAAUUGAUUAUGAGAAUUUUAAUCAAAA